GAAAGAUGGUUUCGGCUAUCGCUUACAGAUGGGCCCGCGGUGCAUUAGCUAGUUGGUAGGGUAAUGGCCUACCAAGGCAACGAUGCAUAGCCGACCUGAGAGGGUGAUCGGCCACACUGGGACUGAGACACGGCCCAGACUCCUACGGGAGGCAGCAGUAGGGAAUCUUCCGCAAUGGACGAAAGUCUGACGGAGCAACGCCGCGUGUAUGAAGAAGGUUUUCGGAUCGUAAAGUACUGUUGUUAGAGAAGAACAAGGAUAAGAGUAACUGCUUGUCCCUUGACGGUAUCUAACCAGAAAGCCACGGCUAACUACGUGCCAGCAGCCGCGGUAA
rnacentral:rRNA from 2 species